GCAGUGAUGAACUCUUGGCAUUGAUCAAUUUUUGAACUGAUAAAGCCUACUUGUCCUCUAAGAAGUUCUGAGCUU